rnacentral:piRNA from 2 species
UGGGUAUAUGGAGUUCUCAGGUGUCAGUUU